rnacentral:lncRNA from 1 species
GCCCGCGAGCGCUCCAAAGGCUUGGGCGUGCGGCUUGCUCUUCCUCUCCGCUUGACGGGCGGUGGUUCCCCCGAGACAGAAACUUGACUGAAAAAUAAUACCAAAUACCCGUGCUGCGGCCCGUGGCCCUCCAUAGGGCCACCUGAACUAGCCUCGCCUGUCCCCUUGCUCUUUGCCGUUCGUCCUUCGCGUUUUGUGAAAACAGUUGGCGCCGCAGAAAUGAGAUAAACGCCCCUGAGCUCGAAACCCGCACUCGAACUGCCACCGAGCCGACCCUUCCUGUUUUGGAACUCAGGGCCCGGCCACCCGAGAAGCACCCUCAUGGGCACUUUGUUUCUACAAGGGCCCGUUUCCAUUUCCUUCCUAAGGUUUCCUUAUCCCCUGCGGCAGGAGGGGCCCGCUGGGCUCGGGUUUUCAGCUGCGUUGGAGCUGCAGAGGCUGCGGAGUGAACGCGGCCAGGAGCCCGCCUGGGAGCGCGCAGCGCUCUAGGAGCCGAGAGCCGCUGCUUGGCCCUCGCUGGCCGGGUAAACCGAGGGGAAGCUCCUGGCCUCCUUUCCCUUAAGCCCCUUAUUGCUUCUGUGGGGAAGGCCCUCCUAGGUAGAGGCGAAGGACCGGGGAGAUAACCUCUCCCAUGGGCCACAUCCGCUGCCAUGGUCUGUGUCGUGCCAGAAGGUACCUCUCAGCCCUCAGUGCCGUGAAAAAUCUGACACUCAAGAAGGUCGAUUGACACGCCUAACGUCGCACAGCAAUUUAGUAGCACAGCACAGAAUAGAAGCUACCCAGGCUGGCUGUCUCCCAAGCCUGUGUUUCUCUACCACACACAGUAACACUGCGUCUUCCAGAGCUGAAGCUGUAGUCGUGAGAUGGCUCAAGCAUUUGGGGGAACUGGAAGGCAGACCUGGGAAUGAAGAGAAUUGUUUUCUUUGAGCAGAAUUUUCAGUCAGUGGCCUACAGAAAAAGUAGAGAAGAAACAUUACUUGGUUAUUGUCACUGUUCCAAGAGGCUAGCUAAGAAAAUUAAAUCGUGUGGAUUUCUUAAAACUGCUGUUUCGUGUAACCUCCAAACAUCUAUCUGUGACUUUGGCACAAGGUGGCUUGGAUGUCUGAUCUUUGUGAUUGAACUAUAUUCACAUCCUGUUUCUAAGAUUGUGUUACUAAUGGUUUUUCCUGAGGUUUUACAACCAGUAGUGGUGUCUGCGCUGUAGUCAAGUGAAGGUUCUUUGAUCUAAGGCUAUACUUGUCAGUUGCUGUUUAUUGCUUCUUAAACUUUUACUCAAAGUCUUCUUCAAAAAGGAGAAAAGCUGUGGUUUUCUUUCUGUAGGCGGUUAGUAGUCAUUCCCAAAGAUGUUUGCCAAGUGAGCAAAUAUAUUGGAACUUCCAAAUGAGCAUUUCACUGUAAAAAUACCUGCCCCAAAAACAAUACGACAUGUUUCUUUUGCAAUUUAUAUGGUAUAGGAAACAUGUUCUGUGACUUCUUUGUAGCAAGCCAGAUCCUGAUGUGAAAAAAGAGAUCUAACUGUGCCAAUAACAAAUUGAGAAUUCUUGAGUAAGUUCCUUUCCUGUGUUCUUGGGACCUCAGUUUUCUUUUUGUUUGUUUGUUUGAGACGGAGAUUCGCUCUGUCGCCAGGCUGGAGUGCAGUGGCGCGAUCUCGGCUCA